UGGGGAAUAUUGCGCAAUGGGCGAAAGCCUGACGCAGCGACGCCGCGUGAGGGACGAAGGCCUUCGGGUCGUAAACCUCUGUCAGAAGGGAAGAAAUGUAGUGAUGCUAAUCAGUUGCUAUUUGACGGUACCUUCAAAGGAAGCACCGGCUAACUCCGUGCCAGCAGCCGCGGUAAUACGGAGGGUGCAAGCGUUAAUCGGAAUCACUGGGCGUAAAGCGCGCGUAGGCUGUUUGUUAAGUCAGGGGUGAAAUCCCACCGCUCAACGGUGGAACUGCCUUUGAUACUGGCAAACUUGAGAAUGGGAGAGGGUGGCAGAAUUCCAGGUGUAGGAGUGAAAUCCGUAGAUAUCUGGAGGAAUACCGGUGGCGAAGGCGGCCACCUGGCCCAUAUCUGACGCUGAGGUGCGAAAGCGUGGGGAGCAAACA
rnacentral:rRNA from 1 species